AUUGAACGCUGGCGGCAUGCUUUACACAUGCAAGUCGAACGGCAGCGCGGGCUUCGGCCUGGCGGCGAGUGGCGAACGGGUGAGUAAUGCAUCGGAACGUGCCCAGUAGUGGGGGAUAGCCCGGCGAAAGCCGGAUUAAUACCGCAUACGACCUGAGGGUGAAAGCGGGGGACCGAAAGGCCUCGCGCUAUUUGAGCGGCCGAUGUCGGAUUAGCUAGUUGGUGGGGUAAAGGCUUACCAAGGCGACGAUCCGUAGCUGGUCUGAGAGGACGACCAGCCACACUGGGACUGAGACACGGUCCAGACUCCUACGGGAGGCAGCAGUGGGGAAUCUUGGACAAUGGGGGCAACCCUGACCCAGCCAUGCCGCGUGCGGGAAGAAGGCCUUCGGGUUGUAAACCGCUUUUGUUCGGGAAGAAAUCCUCUGGGCUAAUACCCCGGGGGGAUGACGGUACCGGAAGAAUAAGCACCGGCUAACUACGUG
rnacentral:rRNA from 1 species